rnacentral:ncRNA from 1 species
CAACCUCAACUCAUAUGGGACUGCCCCCUGAAUUUAAGCAUAUUAAUUAGGGGAGGAAAAGAAACUAACAAGGAUUUUCUUAGUAGCGGCGAGCGAAAAGAAAUCAGUUCAGCACUAAGUCACUUUGUCUAUAUGGCAAAUGUGAGAUGCAGUGUACGGAACAUCAACAUUCUAGUAUGAGAAGUUAACGAUUUAAGUCCUUCUUAAAUGAGGCCAUUUACCCAUAGAGGGUGCCAGGCCCGUAUAACGUUAAUGAUUACUAGAUGGUGUUUCCAAAGAGUCGUGUUGCUUGAUAGUGCAGCACUAAGUGGGUGGUAAACUCCAUCUAAAACUAAAUAUAACCAUGAGACCGAUAGUAAACAAGUACCGUGAGGGAAAGUUGAAAAGAACUCUGAAUAGAGAGUUAAAUAGUACGUGAAACUGCUUAGAGGUUAAGCCCGAUGAACCUGAAUAUCCGUUAUGGAAAAUUCAUCAUUAGAAUUGUAAUAUUUUAAACAAUAUUAUAAUAAUAGUGUGCAUUUUUUCCAUAUAAGGACAUUGUAAUCUAUUAGCAUAAAUAUUUAUCAUAAAAUUAUGUCUGAUUGCUUAUUUGAAUUAUAUGCUUGGCAUUUUAACAUAAAAUAAAAGAUAUAAAUUUGAUAAAGUGCUGAUAGAUUUAUAUGAUUACAGUGCGUUAAUUUUUCGGAAUUAUAUAAUGGCAUAAUUAUCAUUGAUA